rnacentral:tRNA from 1 species
GGGCCUAUGGCGCAAUUGGUAGCGCGUAGUAAGUUUCAAUCGUAAGGUUGUCCGAUCGAGCCGGGCUGGGCUCA